UAUUUCUAAUACUAAUCAGCUUCUCCAUAGAUUUUAACUUCAAAGAAAUUAUCAACAGCAUCUCGUCAAACUUCCACGUAAUUAGCAAGAGAAUUCAUCUAUCGACUCUUCGGCCAGGCGUAGUCAUUUGUGGCUAACAUCUGUUUAGGAAGAUACUCCUGGCGCAAUCUGAGCCCUUCAAGAGAUGAGGAGCCCACCACCGCUCUUGGCUUCCAGUUUCCCCUGUAAACAGUCUUUCUGCAAAUUUUUUCAGGCCUUUUGGAACAAAAUGAAGACAGGAGGAGUCCUGGAGCGCUGGUGAAGCAGAAUGGGAAGUGAUGCUCUCCGCUGCUGACUGUCAGGACAGAGCCAAAACCAGUCAAUCGAGGGCUCAUUGUUGAAGUGCAAGCAGAAUUUAUUGCCCCCUUCUGCUGACAGCGGAGGGCCAGCCUACCCGCAGGAUGAAAAGCCUGUUUUCACAGAUGACAACUUCUAUGGGCACCUGGCUUUGGUCCGAAGACUACAAAGGAAGCAAGCUUCCAGUUAACUAGUCUGUCAACUGUCAUGUUUGUUCCUUCUCUAUUUCAAGUAUAGCCUCUAUUAAAGGGCCUCCAAUAGACUCACCAUCCGGCCAGUUUCUACAUCUCCAUUUCAAGACAAUUCUUUGGCUUGGAACCUGUAAAAGAUAGAAGGUUUCCGCUCUCCAUUAGCAAGUUUCUCUACUUUUGGAAAACUCACAUUCUAUCUACUCAAUUCCCCCGUUGAAAAAUAUGAAUAUUAUUUUAAUAAAAGGAAGCAUA